AUUGAACGCUGGCGGCAUGCCUUACACAUGCAAGUCGAACGGCAGCGCGGGGCAACCUGGCGGCGAGUGGCGAACGGGUGAGUAAUAUAUCGGAACAUACCCUAGAGUGGGGGAUAACGUAGCGAAAGUUACGCUAAUACCGCAUACGCACUAAGGUGGAAAGUGGGGGAUUCGCAAGAACCUCAUGCUCAUGGAGUGGCCGAUAUCUGAUUAGCUAGUUGGUGAGGUAAAGGCUCACCAAGGCAACGAUCAGUAGCUGGUUUGAGAGAACGACCAGCCACACUGGAACUGAGACACGGUCCAGACUCCUACGGGAGGCAGCAGUGGGGAAUUUUGGACAAUGGGGGCAACCCUGAUCCAGCAAUGCCGCGUGAGUGAAGAAGGCCU
rnacentral:rRNA from 1 species